GGACAAUGCUGCUGUAAAUGCUGGUUCACGCAACUCCAUUGCCUCUAGAGUCCGGGAGAAGCACCCAAAUGUCUACGUCCAUGGCUGCCCAUGUCAUGUGGUUCACAACACUGCAAAAUCUGCCGGGGCAGCUUUUUGUGAUGUGUUCAGUUUUGAUUGGGAGGACUUCGCAACUGAUGUUGGCCUAUGGUUCAAGGGCAGCACAAACCGAAAAGGGUACUUGACAGAGUUUUGUGAGCUCCAUGAAUUGCAGUACAUGGAGGUCCUCAUGCAUGUUGCGGUUCGUUGGUUGAGUCUUGAGGUCUGUGUAACUCGGAUCCUGAGACUGUACAACCCUCUGGCCAGCUACUUCAAAUCUGCUGGUAUGGCACCUGAAAUCAUUUUUAAUAUGCAAAUGCUAAAAAUGGCACUGGACAGUUAACUGUGCACUUCUGUUACUGACGACCUUGUUUGUUUGUUUUUGUUUUUUCAAGAUGAAAGUCACCCGAGGUUCAGGAGGCUUCGGGCAGCAUUUAGUGACCCCAUGACUGAGGUUUACCUACUGUUCCUCCAGGCGUGCUUACCAACAUUCACCACCUUCAAUCUCCUCCUUCAGUGGGAUCAGCCCUCAAUUCAUUUGUUACAUGAUGAGAUGCAGAAAUUCAUUCGCAAGCUGUGUUCAAAAUUCAUGGUACCAACAGCACUGCAGGACUGUGAGCAGGCUUUGGAAAUUUCCUUCAAAGAAAAGGCAACCCAUUUACCAGGAAGAAAGCUGAACAUUGGCCUCACCACCAGGGGAAAGGUCAACAAGCUAUUGGAAGAAGGCAACAUCACCCCACAACAUGUGGAGAAAUUUCAUGAGGCGGCAUUGGCGUUUCUGACUACUGC